AUUGAACGCUGGCGGCAUGCUUUACACAUGCAAGUCGAACGGCAGCACGAAAGAGCUUGCUCUUUUGGUGGCGAGUGGCGAACGGGUGAGUAAUGCAUCGGAACGUACCGAGUAAUGGGGGAUAACUAUCCGAAAGGAUAGCUAAUACCGCAUACGCUUUGAGAAGGAAAGUGGGGGCUCUUCGGACCUCACGUUAUUCGAGCGGCCGAUGUCUGAUUAGCUAGUUGGUGGGGUAAAGGCCUACCAAGGCGACGAUCAGUAGCGGGUCUGAGAGGAUGAUCCGCCACACUGGGACUGAGACACGGCCCAGACUCCUACGGGAGGCAGCAGUGGGGAAUUUUGGACAAUGGGCGCAAGCCUGAUCCAGCCAUGCCGCGUGUCUGAAGAAGGCCUUCGGGUUGUAAAGGACUUUUGUUGGGGAAGAAAAGGAUAGUGUUAAUACCAUUAU
rnacentral:rRNA from 1 species